rnacentral:rRNA from 1 species
AUUGAACGCUGGCGGCAUGCCUUACACAUGCAAGUCGAACGGUAACAGGUCUUCGGAUGCUGACGAGUGGCGAACGGGUGAGUAAUACAUCGGAACGUGCCUAGUAGUGGGGGAUAACUACUCGAAAGAGUGGCUAAUACCGCAUGAGAUCUACGGAUGAAAGCAGGGGAUCGCAAGACCUUGUGCUACCAGAGCGGCCGAUGGCAGGUUAGGUAGUUGGUGGGAUAAAAGCUUACCAAGCCGACGAUCUGUAGCUGGUCUGAGAGGACGAUUAGCCGAACUGGGACUGAGACACGGCCCAAACGCCUACGGGAGGCAGCAGUGGGGAAUUUUGGACAAUGGGCGCAAGCCUGAUCCAGCAAUGCCGCGUGCAGGAUGAAGGCCUUCGGGUUGUAAACUGCUUUUGUACGGAACGAAAAGCCCUGGGUUAAUACCCUGGGGUCAUGACGGUACCGUAAGAAUAAGCACCGGCUAACUACGUGCCAGCCGCCGCUGUAAAAC